CGGCGCGCGGGCCGGGCGGCGCAGGAAGGGGCGGGGCCGGGGCGGAAGCGCCGGGCCGGGGAAACUUCCACCUUGCAAGGCUCUCUGAGAGGCAAGUCUGUGAGAUGUUCAGUUACUGUGCCUUCACUGGAUGAUUUCUACCACAGAGGUGCACUUAGGAUAUAGAGUCUGCCUCAACUUCCAUGCUGUCAAGAUUUGCCCAAGUAAAAUAUCUUGUGGUGAAGAACUUCAUCUCAGGAAGAAGAUGAAAGAUAAUGUUGCUGAAGAACAUUUAUAUUUGGCUUUUUCUCAUCAGUACAGAGAUAGUAUCUUUCCUCUUCAUACAUCUAUCUCUCUGUUUUUGCUAUCCUACUGUGACUGCAAAUUAUUUAAAGUUUUUUUAGUGCCAACUGGCGAAGAUGUGGAUGAUCAGUGUGUGACAAAAAACCUCGCUGGUGACCUUGAGGUCCACUUAAUCUCCAGGUGUCAGCUUCCAGUGGUUGUGCAGAGCUGCACUUUACCUGCUGUUGUCGUGAAAGAUGACAAAUUCUGCCGAGCUGGGCUUUCUGUGGUCUUAAGACACAUAAUACAGAAAACAUUCGAGGCAGAUCCAUCUAAAAAGGAGGUUUUGGAACUCUUGGGUUUUAAGAAGACCUGCUUAAAAGCCUGUGCUGAAGUUAGCCAGUGGACCAGGCUCUGUGAGAUCAGCAUACCUCUGGCUGUUGAACGAUUUUUGACAGCCUCUCCUGAGCACUGCCAGGCUAUUCCUCCUGACAUUUUACUCUUGGAAAGGAAGCUUGGAGAACCUGUCCGAGUACAUAAUGAUGACAAAAUUCGAAGGCAGAAACUUCAGCAACAGAAGGCAGGUGCCAAGGCUGCAGUGCCUGUGCUUGGUGAAGAAGCAACAGAGGGAUUAAGACCAGGAGAAGUCCAUGAACAUCCACCCUCAAGUUUGGAACUGAGUGUAGCUUUCUCCAAACUACUUGCCCAGGAAGCACCAGAUGGAAUCAACAGGGAGGCCCCUCACAUCAGGAGAACAAAAACCUCUGACCUCCCGCUCUUGGACCACGUUUUUGCAGAAGGGCUUUAUUUUACUGUGGCAGAUUUAGUGCUUUUGCCGUGCAUCCAUCAGUUCUUGGUUUCCAGCAAGAAGCAAGGCAAAAAUCUGGUAAACUUGCCGCUGAUAUCCAGUUGGUAUCGAAGAGUUCAAGAAGUACCUGGGGUAAAGAAAGCUGCUGACAAAUGCAAAAUGGAGCUUCUCCAGCUUCCAGAGUUGGUGUCUCCUCCCAAGGAACAGCUACAGGACUCUGCUUCAGUUCCUGAUGAGUUAGAAGAGGAUCAUGAAGACAGUCAUUUUAUAGGUGGUCCAAGGCCAACCAUGACUAAGUUAAUGGAAAAUGGAAUUGAAGCAAAGUUUUCUCCUCAUCCAUGCCCCAGUUGGACCCUAGACUGGACCAGUCUUCCAUCUGCAGUCAGUCCUGGGGAAGGAAAGAUGUCUCGAGACCGGGCUCUCAGGAAGCAGCAGCAGCUGAACAAUUUGGUAGCAGCAGUGACAAAACUUGCAAAACCUGGAGAUUUGAUUGUGGAUUUUUGCAGUGGAGGGGGCCAUGUUGGAAUUGUUCUUGCUUAUAUGAUGCCAUCAUGUCAGGUGGUACUCAUAGAAAAUAAGGAGUUAUCUCUGAUCCGUGCUAAAGACAGAAGUGAUGAACUAGGUUUAAACAACAUUUGGUUUAUUCAAGCAAAUUUGGACUAUUUUAAUGGGACUUUUAACAUUGGGGUGGCCCUGCACGCCUGCGGGGUGGCCACAGACAUGGUGAUUGAGCACUGCCUCAGGGCACGGGCAGCCUUUGUCAUCUCCCCCUGCUGCUACGGCUUCAUUCAAAAUACAGUCAAGUUCAAAUAUCCACGAAGUCAUCAGUUCAAAGAAAUUUUGUCCUACAAGGAGCACAUGAUCCUUUGCAGAUUUGCAGAUCAGACAGCUGUUCAGCUUCCACCUGAACGCAGGCUAAUUGGAAAGCAGUGUAUGGGACUUGUGGAUCUGGAUCGGGCAUGGGCUGCAGAAGAACAUAACUACUCUGUCCAAGUUAUAUCUAUGGAGCCAGAGAGUUGUUCUCCAAAGAACAAUAUGUUUGUGGGCAUCCCUACUUAGAGUGUGAAGCUUGCAUUCAAUUUGAAGCUGAACAUAAAUCUUCAGUGCAUAAUGACAUCCAGCAGAUAGAGGCAGCGCUGGGAAGCAGACAAUCCCGCAUCUUGAACGCAUUGCCUUCGGAAAGGGAAGCAGCCCCCAAAGGCCUGAAAAGCAAACUGCAUGCAGAGCAUCACAAAUCAACUUGUAAUGUGUCAUUAAGCUACUUUUGGUUCUCAUACUGAGAAGUUUCUGGAUCUAAUGACUGUGCAUGGAAUUAUAUCCAUCUGUAAAAGUUUAGAAAAAACUGGCUUUGUUGAAGGAAAGGUGAUUUCCUUUUCAGUAAAGCUGUGUCUUGGCUGCUUGGAAAUUGCAUUCGUGGUCAAAACAGCAUUUGUGUUCAUAAGCAGAGCAGUUAUCAGCCAGCAGUGCUGAUCACCAGAGGAAGAGAGAAGAUCAAAUUUAGUGUUUUACUGAAGAUGGCUGUGCAACAGCUAUUUGUGGUUACAGGAGGAACUUGAGUUUUGAAGAAUGUAUGGCAAAUACAAAAUACUUGGCGAUACCAGUUAUCUCCAGAGUUUUCUGCAAUACUUGUCCAAUGAGAAUUCAGUUUCUAAAUUAGUGGUAUGUCAAUCUGAACAUUAGUCACGUUAGAUUACUUUUUUGGAGUGAGCAGAUGUCUCUUUAUGACCUUCUUGUGCUGAAGGAAGAACUCAUCAAGGUGAGGCAGUUGGAAACUGAUGCUGUUAACAGUAAGGGUUUUCACACUUCUCUGUUCCAGGCACUGGGUAGCAAUAUCAAUGUUUUAAUUAUGGUGCUGCUGAACAUUUGGCAUGGUUUGAUACUAUGCAAUAGUACGGAGCUUUCAGUAGAGCAGAAUUCUCUGCUCUUACGUGCUUCACAUUCUUUGCAAUAUCUGUAUCAAUAGUCUGUAAUGGUUUUUGGAUCUACCUGAAAAGAAGGAAUACAUUUGGGGUGUACAGCAGGGAACAUGUGUGCUACUGAAUAAAAAAUAAAAAUGGGGUUUUUAAGAGGCAAAACCGGGAUUUCUUAAAAAGAGAGGUGGAAAAGGAAUCUUAUUUGGACAAAUGACCAAGCGUUUAUUAGAUGCUUCAGAUGGUCUAGAAAAACAGGUAAAAUCAAACAAGAAUCCAAAUGCCAAUCUCUGUUUCCCAUUUUUCCCCAAUUUAUUAAAGUACCUGUUUUCAUGUUAAUGACAGUUUCCCAUGUGUUGCUUACAUGUGACUUAAGUAAAUUAUUUUGUAUCUGCAACCCACAAAGAAAUAGGCUUCACAGGAAGAAAAGAUUUAUAGAAGCAAGGGAGAAAACCUGCAGAAGUAGUGCUGUGUUUGUAUGUGUGAUGACAUCCCAUUUUUUCUUGGAUGAGCCAAACUAUACAAAGUGAGUUUAUGACAAAUUUUUUUCCUUCCCAAAAUUGGGAAUAUUUUAAUGGCAUCUCACAAUAUCCAUCAUCUUGGUGGCUUACAGGAUUAGUGAGGCUGCAUUCUAUUUGUGAUACAGCUUGUUGCUGUUGGCAUCAAUGGGCUCUGGUUUCUUCUCAGGAGAACAGAAUCUUUCUCACAUCCAAGGAUGGAGUUACGUUGCUAGGAAUAGUAAAGCCUGAACUAUACUUCAGAUGAACUGAUGCUUAUUGAAAACUGAAGAGAAGCAGAUGAAAAAAGCAUAAAAAUAAAGAUCUGCAGCAAGAGAUAAUACCUAAUUCAGCACAGAUUAAAUUGCUAAACUGUGGCAUGUACUUUAGAAAGAUGAACUCAAUUAUAUUAGUUUUUAGGUAUGUUACUUUGCCCUAUGUUUCUAUAUACAUAAAUGAUAUAGAAUUAA